UCCUCCUCUGGAGUUUUGCAGUAAACCUAGGAUGCGGGUGCAGCAGUAUCUGAGAAGAAGUGGUAGGAUACUUUCCAGUGAGAAACAUCACAGAAGUCUUUGAAAGGAACUUACCUGCAGAGAAGGGCAGCUGUGUGUAGAUCAUAUUCACAAAUACACUGCCAGAAGGCUGGAUCACAAUGUUCUGCCCACAAGAAAAGGCAAUGAUUAUCAAGCAUGUUUAGGAAAGAAAUCCAUUGAUGGCUAAAACAGACAACUAAAUGACAGAAAACUAUGAGGAUUUGACUUCCAAUAUAUCUGCUUUGUUCUUUUCAAAAAUUGAAUUCAUUUGAAAAUGAUAAAACAAAAAAUCAGUCGGUGCUGUUAUGAGUCAUUUGCAUACUCCUUGCAUAUUAAGAUUGGAAAACAUCACUGCAGAAUAUUAGCUGUUUGCAUUUGCUACUUACAGUUUGUCCUCCGCUUAGACUGAUGGCUACGCCCUUGAGGCAAGUCUCAGUAUCAGUGAGACCACACUUGUGGAUGUCACCCAGAACAGUGAAAUCAUUGCUGUCACAGAGCUAGAAGGAGAAAACAAAAUAGCCCAUUGUAUUAGAAAGAUCACACAGUGGUGUUUUUGCUUUUUUUUGUUUAAUUUUUUUUUUUUUUCCUGCAGACUAUGUUCUAUGAGCUGUAUUUGAAGUGUGCCUAUUGGCCAAGUUAUUACAGAGAAACACACAACUCAUUUUCUUGGUGUUAACAAUACUGAACUGAGGACAGCUGAGAUGUGGAAUUACAGCCAUAGGAAAAUUUAAUGUUAAAAUUUAGGGCUUUUUGGAUCUUAUCUAUACAGGUUGAAGGUUUUGGUGUACUUCCAGGGCCCCUGUGAAUCUAACUUUACAUGCUGGUGCCAAAAAGGAAGUUUAGCAUGUCUGAUCUAUGCUUACAUUGUUGAUCCAGCCCUAUGCUUGUGAUUUCUCACUGAAAAUUUUCAUUGAUUUAGUCUAAUCUGUUUUUAAAUUAUGUCAUUCUAGCUCAUUUCUUAAGUGUUUAUGGUUCUCUUUCCUGGUAACAUUCAGCUUGAGCUUUUUCAGAGCAGGUUUUAUUUAAUAUAAAGCCUUCAGGAAAUUGAUUUUUGCAUUACUCACCCAGUACAAAUCAACAGCCAAAUAUAUAUUGCAUUCUGAGAUUUGAAAUCUGUAGUUAACUGAGGCAUACAUACUCAGGAUUCAGUCCCUACUAAUUUAGCGAGUUCAGUAGAUCUUAAGUGUUUUUUAAUGUAUAUAUAGUUUCUGAUGCUGGUUUUAGAAUAUGUGUAUGACUUCUUACCAUUUUGCUUUCAAAUUCUAGUGUAUUCUGCAUUUUCUCUUUCUCAAAGAGACAGUUACAAAACACCAGACAGGGAAUAUUCAAUUAAAAAAAAGGAAAGUGUAGAGGCUGUUUCAUGAAAACUAAAAACUCAGUGCAGUUCUUAACCAAUGAUCAAAUAGAUAAGAAUACUAAAGUAUUUAUUUUCUAGAAAACUAUGGGAAAGCCCAUUGGGAUCUAUUUAAGGUUCCACGUAUUUCCUUUAAGUUUCAGAAAAUUGCUGUAAUUACCAGUAGUUUCAUUUAAACAUUCUUGUAUUUAAUAAAAGUGUUUUCCUUUAGCAAAUUACUUUAACAAGGAAUGUGACUCCUUUUUACCUUGGUUAGGACGUAGCUACAAUCUCCAUAGAAGGAAUAAUAUUUUUCAUCAAAUGUUGUAAUGUGGGAGCCUCCUUCGAUGCUGCAAGUCCCUGGACAUGACUGGGUGACGCAAGUCCAUUCACCCCCAGCACAAGUACUGAAAUGAAGAAGGCAUUCUGUAACCUUGAUAGUGCAUAUAUAAAUUAAAUUAGACAUAAGGGCACCUUUAUUUUCCUUGUGAAUCAUUGCUGAGUAUGCUGCCUUCUGGAGAAAAAUAUACUUACAA